rnacentral:rRNA from 1 species
ACCAAACAAGUAUGGAGAUCUUACUUGUGGAACAACUGGUGAAUAUCUAGAUCAUUCUCCCGAAGCUUUGGGCCUGUGCUAUACCAACCUACGAUGUGCUCCUUAGCUGAAGCAUGUCCACAAAUUCAUGUAAACAAACAAUUCUCAACAUGGAAAGAGCACAAAAUGCAUUAGAAAUAGAGAAAUUACCAUUUAUCCUCUUAAACAUUGAAAACAUCGACUCAUGGUAGUUGUGAUCAAGAAACCAUAUGCUUGGAUCUUUCUCGUCUUCUUCAAAGGGCACUGAAACGAAGAGAGUAUAGCAUAUAAAGGUAAUUGGUAGUCCAAAGAUAGAAAACUCGCCAGAGUACCCAUCAGAACAAUAACCACCUUACUGGACUCGUUUAGUUUAGAUACAUGGGUAAACUAAUAACAUAGUGUAGAGGAAAUUGCAGAUGCCUAGAAUGGAAAGAAAUGAAAACUAUGGCUAAAAAACACAAUGGUUCGACCGGAAGUCGACACAAUCUUAAGUCAGAUGGAUAAGACCAAUUUUACCAUGAAAUUCAAGGUUUUACACAUUGUGCGACUAAAUUAUUGAAAACUUCUGAUGUCAAGUCCUUCAAAGCAGCAAUUCCCAAUUACAUGACUCAAUCGAGUGUAGGUUACACAACGAAUUUUCAGUGUCAUAAGAACCAUGAAAGAGUAACGACCACAGCAAGUGGGAACGGCAGCCAACUGAAGGCCUGAAUCCUAAUCAAUUCAUAAUGAGGGGCAACCUAAAAGAUUUUGCAUGACAGAAAGAAAUCCUCUCUCUUAUAAAAAUGACCCAAAGCACAAACAAUCACUUCUUUUAAUCCCUUUUUCGUGAAUCAGGACAUCCACUAGAAAGGCACAUUUCGAGUCCUCGCAGCUAAUUCUGAUUUAUGCUCAACUACUGUCAAUUUCAGAGAAGUACCAAAUAAAAUGCCCAAAUUCCAUGCAUCAUUAUCGUAAAAAUCGCGUAGUUUCAGCUAUGAACCCGAAUCAAACGACAGAAAAAGAUUCAGAUCCAAACACGAUACAGUAAGUUUAUGACAAGAGGCGAGAGAGAAAACAGUAUGAAAGGAGAAUAAGGACCUGCAUAGCUAUUACUGACGUCGACGGUGCCCUUGAAAGAGCUACCAAGUAGAACUCCUACGACUCGUUUGCGGGAUUCCUUAGCAACUCGGUUGUAGUUAUCGACGAUGCUGAGCAAAACCAGAGGGUGGACUACGACCUUCUCGACUGGCCUCGAUGAUAUUUGCUGCGUCUUGAUCACAUCCAUGGCGAAAAUUCCUGCAGUGUCUCGGAGCUCAGUCGAAUUCGCGAUUCUCGGCUAAAGCUAAACCCACUAAGAAAUAAAAUGGAAGGAGCAGCUGAUUAAGCCCUUUUUCUUGGGGGUUUUCUUGGCAGAAAAGCAAGCCUCCUCAGCGAUGAGCGACCCUCUCGGCCCAAAUAAACCGCGAUUCAACCCGGGCUUUUGUAGUCCGGCUCGGUUAUCGAGUUCGGGAGAAAAACCGCUAUUUUUUUCAUUCAACUGUUCGAGUGUUCUUUUUAGUAGAACAAGUGUGGUGUUGAGAUGGAAAAGAUUAGAGAACAAAUAGUGUCAUCAAUUUAUCAACUGAGGAAACUGAAAUUGGUAUUGCUAAUUUUUUCUUUUUUAUUUUAAAGUUUGACCAUGGUAAAGAUGAGAUCGACAUGUCAACUAAUUUGGAAUCUUGUUUUUAUUAAGUGUUAAAAGAAAUUACAUUCAAAAUAUUAAUGGAUGUUUGCUCAAAUAGUAUUUUUGAAACGUUUAUAGAAGGUAGAGUAGUAUUGAAACUUUUUAAAUAAUAUAAGUAUUUCUUAAACAAAAGUAAAAUUGAAGGGUAUAUUUGUAAUUUAGUCUAAAAACUUUAAACGGAGGAGUUAAGACAUUGUCUCACGUAUCAUAAAGUCAAUCUUCACUAGGGAUGGCAACGGGCGGGCGAGGUCGGCGGGUCAUCCCCAUCCCCGCCCCCGUCCCUGAAAUUUAGGGGGCGGUGAUGAGUCAGGGAUUCCCUGAUCGGUACAUUUUUUUAAUUUUUUAAAUUAAUUUUUGUUAUUAUUAGUAUAAAAAUUGAAUAAGAAGUGGCUAAUGGGNUUGACCCUGUCCCCGGUCAAACUGGAGAAUCCCCAACCUGGGUUGAGUACCCGUUGGGGUCUGAUCUUGCAGGUAUUUUUGUCAUCCCUAAUCUUCACCCACCUCUUUGUGGAAUUAAAGAAAUGUUAAAUUACAAGUUUAGUCCCUCAACAUUGAAGAUUAUGUCUAUUCGAUUCGACAUUGUUAAAAUUUACAUAUUUAUUGGUUAAAAAAAUUUACAUAUUUAUUCGACACUUAGAGGCCUAUUAAAUAUUUUUAAAUGUAUUAUCCUAUUACAUACAAAAUAAAAAUUUUGAAGACCUAUUAAAUGUAAUUUCAAGAGCUCACAUCGAGAGGAAGGUUUAGCAUCUUGAUCUCGACUCUUUGUGACAUGGGGAUUGUUAUGUUCCAAGAGUUGGGUUGUUCACCCAUUAAAACGGUACGUGAGUUUGGUUCAGAACGUCGUGAGACAAUUCGGUCCAUAUCCAGUAUGGGCAUUAGAACAUUGAGAGGACAUUUCACUAGUAUGAGAUGACCAGGAAGGACGCACCUCUGGUGUACCAGCUAUCGUGCCCAUGAUAAACGUUGGGUAGCCAAGUGCGGAGCGGAUAACUGCUCAAAGCAUCCAAGUAGUAAGCCCACCCUAUAAUGAGUGCUCUCCUAUUCCGACUUCUCCAAAGCUUUCGAUAGCACAGCCGAGACAGCGAUGGAUUCUCUAUCCCUGCAGAAAUGAAGCGACAUAAGUUUUGAGAAUUAAAGAGAAGUUGAUGGCAAGACGAGCCGUUCUUCAUCAUGAUAGGUGUCACUAAACUCAUAAUU